CGAACAAGGUCUCCGUUGGUGAACCAGCGGAGGGAUCAUUACCGAGUUUACAACUCCCAAACCCCUGUGAACAUACCACUUGUUGCCUCGGCGGAUCAGCCCGCUCCCGGUAAAACGGGACGGCCCGCCAGAGGACCCCUAAACUCUGUUUCUAUAUGUAACUUCUGAGUAAAACCAUAAAUAAAUCAAAACUUUCAACAACGGAUCUCUUGGUUCUGGCAUCGAUGAAGAACGCAGCAAAAUGCGAUAAGUAAUGUGAAUUGCAGAAUUCAGUGAAUCAUCGAAUCUUUGAACGCACAUUGCGCCCGCCAGUAUUCUGGCGGGCAUGCCUGUUCGAGCGUCAUUUCAACCCUCAAGCACAGCUUGGUGUUGGGACUCGCGUUAAUUCGCGUUCCUCAAAUUGAUUGGCGGUCACGUCGAGCUUCCAUAGCGUAGUAGUAAAACCCUCGUUACUGGUAAUCGUCGCGGCCACGCCGUUAAACCCCAACUUCUGAAUGUGACCUCGGAUCAGUAGGAUGCAGUC
rnacentral:rRNA from 1 species